ACUCAAAGGAAUUGACGGGGGCCCGCACAAGCGGAGGAACAUGUGGUUUAAUUCGAUGAUACGCGAGGAACCUUACCUGGGCUUAAAUGUAGGCUGCAUUCCGCUGAAAGGUGGAUUUCCGCAAGGACUGCUUACAAGGUGCUGCAUGGUUGUCGUCAGCUCGUGCCGUGAGGUGUCGGGUUAAGUCCCAUAACGAGCGCAACCCCUACCGUUAGUUGCCAUCAGGUCAUGCUGGGAACUCUAGCGGGACUGCCACCGUAAGGUGAGAGGAAGGUGGGGAUGACGUCAAAUCAGCACGGCCCUUAUGUCCAGGGCUACACACGUGUUACAAUGGCAGGUACAAAGGGCAGCUACACCGCGAGGUGAUGCUAAUCUCUAAAGCCUGUCUCAGUUCGGAUCGCAGUCUGAAACCCGACUGCGUGAAGUUGGAUUCGCUAGUAAUCGCGCAUCAGCCAUGGCGCGGUGAAUACGUUCCCGGGCCUUGUACACACCGCCCGU
rnacentral:rRNA from 1 species